GACGAACGCUGGCGGCGUGCCUAAUACAUGCAAGUCGAACGCAGUGGGUACGGGGGAGGAACACGUGGGUAACCUCCCGUCAGAGCGGAUCACACUUGGAAACAGGUGCUAAACCGAUACUGAUGGAUGGACUCGCGGUGCAUUAGCUAGUUGGCGAGGUAACGGCCCACCAAGGCCACGAUGCAUAGCCGACCUGAGAGGGUGAUCGGCCACACUGGGACUUAGAAACGGCCCAGACUCCUACGGGAGGCAGCAGUAGGGAAGCUUCGGCAAUGGACGAAAGUCUGACCGAGCAACGCCGCGUGAGUGAAGAAGGUUUUCGGAUCGUAAAACUCUGUUGUUAGAGAAGCGGUAUCUAACCAGAAAGCCACGGCUAACUACGUGCCAGCAGCCGCGGUAAUUC
rnacentral:rRNA from 1 species